rnacentral:sRNA from 1 species
GUGAACCUUUACUACAGCUUUACAUUGAACUUUGACCUUACCUGUGUAGGAUAGGUGGGAGGCUUUGAAGCAGGCGACGCCAGUGUCUGUGGAGCCAUCCUUGAAAUACCACCCUGGUAAUGUUGGGGUUCUAACUCAAGCUUAACAGAGCUGAGGACAAUGUAUGGUGGGUAGUUUGACUGGGGCGGUCUCCUCCUAAAGAGUAACGGAGGAGUACGAAGGUGCGCUCAGAACGGUCGGAAAUCGUUCGAAGAGUAUAAAGGCAAAAAGCGCGCUUAACUGCGAGACCCACAAGUCGAGCAGAUACGAAAGUAGGUCUUAGUGAUCCGGUGGUUCUGUAUGGAAGGGCCAUCGCUCAAACGGAUAAAAAGGUACUCUGGAUAACAGGCUGACUACCGCCCAAGAGUUCAUAUCGACGGCGGUGUUUGGCACCUGAUGUCGGCUCAUCUCAUCCGUGGGCUGAAGCAGGUCCCAAGGGUAUGGCUGUUCGCAAGUUUAAAGCGGUACGCGAGUCUGGGUUUAGACGUGUGAGACUUCCGG